CCCUUAGAUGUUCUGGGCCGCACGCGCGCUACACUGUUCGACGCAGCGAGUCUUAACCUUGACCGAAAGGUUUGGGUAAUCUUCAGCAAAGUCGAACGUGAUGGGGAUCGAUCAUUGCAAUUAUUGAUCGUGAACGAGGAAUUCCUAGUAAGUGCAAGUCAUCAGCUUGCGCUGAUUACGUCCCUGCCCUUUGUACACACCGCCCGUCGCUACUACCGAUUGAAUGGUUUAGUGAGAUCUCUGGAUUGACGCUGGCUAGGGGGCGACCCAUGGCCAGGCUGUCGAGAAACUGCUCAAACUUGAUCAUUUAGAGGAAGUAAAAGUCGUAACA
rnacentral:rRNA from 1 species